rnacentral:rRNA from 1 species
CCUACGGGAGGCAGCAGUGGGGAAUAUUGCACAAUGGGGGAAACCCUGAUGCAGCGACGCCGCGUGAGCGAUGAAGUAUUUCGGUAUGUAAAGCUCUAUCAGCAGGGAAGAAGAUGACGGUACCUGACUAAGAAGCCGCGGCUAACUACGUGCCAGCAGCCGCGGUAAUAAGUAGGGGGCAAGCGUUAUCCGGAUUUACUGGGUGUAAAGGGAGCGUAGAGGGCGAUGCAAGCCAGAUGUGAAAGCCCUGGGCUCAACCCCGGGAGUGCAUUUGGAACUGUGUGGCUGGAGUGGGGGAGAGGUAGGCGGAAUGCGUGGUGUAGCGGUGAAAUGCGUAGAUAUUAGGAGGAACACCAGUGGCGAAGGCGGCGUGCUGGACGAUGACUGACGUUGAGGCUCGAAAGCGUGGGGAGCAAACAGGAUUAGAUACCCUAGUAGUC